AACAACUCUGCUGGUUGGUCAAGAUGUUUUUCCUAAUGUGUUUUUAUUUUUUUCACAUAUUCUCUCUAAUCUGCAACCUUACACUGAUGAAGAUCCAGAGAAGCUUGUGAAAGAAUACCUGAUCCAGAGAAGCUGGUGAAAGAAUACCUGAGCGAUGAUAAAAGCAGUCUGGAGGCUAUGGCAGAGACGGUCUUUGGAGUCUUUGUCAUUCGACACAACGGUGCAGGGCCCAGUGAGAACCCAGAGGAUGUCAGAAUUCUUCUGGAGGGUGUAAAGGUGUUGCAUGAGUUGAGGUAUGUGCCUUUUGCAGUGGCAGAGUUGCUUGUGCUCGUGUAUGCUCUAAACCGUAGCUACCCCAGAGAGCUAAAAUACACCUUUGAAGCUCUGCAGAAGAUCAAGUACAUGACUGAGCUCAUCCUCACCUUAGGAAAAACACCUUGUGACUAAAAAUCAGUUAAACUCUUGUUCGAUCCUAACAUAAGUGAAGUUAAAAUACUAAAAAAAAUUGUCUUCCACAAUGUUUUAGAUUUACCACUGUUGGCUUUUAUGUAAAAUGUCCCUAACUGUGAAAUGUUUUUGUUGGCACAAAAAAAUUUAAAAAAAUUUAAGCAGUGUUUUGUUUAUAAUGUUCAAGUCUUGACAUUGAGCAGGCUCUAGAAUUCAUUGAACCUCAGUUUCUGAUGUUAUGUUCACUGUUACAUUCUAAAUAUGUUGUACUGAUGUGGAAUGUGAAAUGUUUCAAGGGAAAUGUGAGUCUA